rnacentral:lncRNA from 1 species
UACAAAUAUAAUUCUGGUACUAAUUCUACAGUAAAGAUACACCAAAUACAUUAUCAGUCAGGUUCAGUACCAACACCAUUUUAGACAUCAAAACAUAUUUAUAAUAUAGUGGUACCAGUGCAGGUGUAAAGCGUGCAAAUUCUCGACGGUACAAACUGUAUGUUGACAAAUUGUCGAUGCAAUGUAUAGGAAGCUAAAAGUUUCGGAUGUAUAUAACCAAUUGACUCACCAUGUAGAUGUCGAUAUCUUGAAGCAUGCAACCAAAAUUAUAUCAGCCUUUUGGAACUGUAAUAUCGUCUAAACACGAUAUACAGAUCAUUAAAUAUAAAAAAGGGUUUAGAUAGCAA